GACGGGACCGCACAAGCGGUGGAUGAUGUGGAUUAAUUCGAUGCAACGCGAAAACCUUACCUACCCUUGACAUGUCCGGAAUCCCGAAGAGAUUUGGGGGUGCUCGCAAGGAGAACCGGAACACAGGUGCUGCAUGGCUGUCGUCAGCUCGUGUCGUGAGAUGUUGGGUUAAGUCCCGCAACGAGCGCAACCCUUGUCAUUAGUUGCCAUCAUUUGGUUGGGCACUCUAAUGAGACUGCCGGUGACAAACCGGAGGAAGGUGGGGAUGACGUCAAGUCCUCAUGGCCCUUAUAGGUGGGGCUACACACGUCAUACAAUGGCCGGUACAGAGGGUAGCCAACCCGCGAGGGGGAGCCAAUCCCACAAAGCCGGUCGUAGUCCGGAUCGCAGUCUGCAACUCGACUGCGUGAAGUCGGAAUCGCUAGUAAUCGCGGAUCAGCAUGUCGCGGUGAAUACGUUCCCGGGUCUU
rnacentral:rRNA from 1 species